UACAGAGGUCUCAAGCGUUGUUCGGAUUCAUUGGGCGUAAAGGGUGUCGUAGGCGGCGCGGUAAGUCGGGUGUGAAAUUCGAUCGGAGCUUAACUCCGAAACUGCAUUCGAUACUGCGGUGCUUGAGGACUGGAGAGGAGACUGGAAUUCACGGUGUAGCGGUGAAAUGCGCAGAUAUCAGGAGGAACACCGGUGGCGAAGGCGGUUCUCUGGGCCUUACCUGACGCUGGAGGAGCGAAAGCAUGGGGAGCAAACAGG
rnacentral:rRNA from 1 species